GAUGUGACUAGGCAGAGAGAGGAAUAUAAGGCAGAAGGAGACAGGAGCUCAGUCUUUUUUCAGUCUGAGGAUCUUUGUAGAGGACGUUCACGACGUCUCUAUUGUGGCACACACAUCAGAUGAGGUCUCUGCAGGGGCAGAUUGAAGAGACAUUUCACCAGAAGCACAGAAGGUGAUGUGACCGGGCAGAAGUCAUGCUGCAAGCUCUUGGCGGCGGCCGCGGUGGCGGUGGUGUAUGUGAGAACUUCAGGCUCACAUGACAGUCUCAGCAUUACGUAUCCCGGGACAGACAAACUCAACGCAUCACCAGACAGCAGCAAGAGCUUCAGGAGAGAAUAGAAUGGAGGAGCAUCCUUCCGAACUGUCAUCCUGCUCCCCAGGGCUCCACACAGGUUUUUCUUCAUAAUCAUGAGAAACAAGAAUAGCAUCUGUCUUCCGAAAUGGAUCUUGAAAUGGCAGAAGACAAGGUGGGAAAUGGGAUUUUCACCGAGGAAGAAAGGCAGCCAUGGGCACCUGCGGGGACAUUGUGCUUCAAGAUCCUAUUUGUGUGGAACCAGGGAAAGAAGUAAAAUGUAGAUUCCCCUGGCUCGUUGAUAACUUUUUGGCCAAUAGGAGUUGCAGCAGAGGUCAGAGGGCCUUGCCAAAGCAUUGCUUAUAUAUGAUCAUGCUGCUGUACAUUACCCCAUUCUCAUCAGGCUUCCCUCAUCCAAAAGUUUCCCCAAGCACUCCAUGAACUCAGAAAUUAUUUGGGAGAAUCUCAGUGGCCUUAAAGGCGAGUUCUCCAUCACUGCCACCACCACCGCCAUCAAUGUCACUUCAAUCAUCAAUACUACUAUACCAUCAUCAUAAAAAAUCAUUCUUUAAAUCACUGUCAUCAUCAUCGUAAUUAUCAAAAAUGGUCUGUACAUGGACCAUGCUGAGGAUCCUGACUUCAAAGAAUGUGAUAAAAGCACCUACCAGGAAAGAAAUAUUGAAGCUGGCCUGGAUUCCUGGAGAUAUUAUUCAUGCCUCAUAAAGUCACCCUAAAUUUCUUUUGGCCAUCUCAAGAGAUUCAAGAUUGUGUCCAAACAGAAGACUUUUGCACUUCAGGGUGUGGGGAGGUUGGUUUACAGACAGAGUGGAGCUGAAGAUAACCGACGUGGGUGCCUCGUGUCUGAGAUUAUCCUGGCCUUGAAGGCUCAAUCCACAGCUUUUCCUAAUUAACAAAGACUGUGUAGAAAGCUGCCCUUGGGCAUCUGUGGGCAGGAAAGCAUCUGCAUGAGCAGAUCGGGAGAGCUUCUUCUCAUCCAGCUGGGUUCUCUGAGAUGUUCUUGGUUGUACUUUAGCAUCCCAGUGUGAAAGGAACUUGGUUUUGCUUUGGCUCUGGAACUAGGGGACCCUGGGUUUCACCAUUCCUGGCUUUUGGUGGUCCUAGGACCUUAGCAUUCCCUGUCAGCAGGGCUGUUAGAAUCUUUUUUGCUCCCUCUCUGCUCUCUCAAGUUGAUCAGUCUCAAAUAGUUUUUAUAGUAAACAGGAAACAGGCAAUGACAUGCCAUGAAACCUCCCUCUCUCUUAUCAAUCACCUAGUCUCAGGUAUUCUGUUAAAAUUGGCACAAAACAGAUACAGAUACAUUACUGUUAGGACCUAGCAGAAUGUCUGGCUUAAGGUGUGUGUUUUAAGACUAUUUGUUGAGCAAAUAAUUAUCUUUUCCAAGGAGACUCUAUUGUCUUUUCAGGUGGAGGCUAGCACCGUUUGCUCAGUGCUUGCACCUGAUGUGAGCGAGUACGAAAACAGGGCCUGUAAGGAAUACCUGUCUCAGUUUUUGAAAGUAUGUUUUGCUUUUGGUCUUUUUUUUCCUGUCUUUCUCUCUAAGUGUAUUAAUGAGCUUAGACUGUGAGAUGGAGGAGGUCUAGAAGCCAUUCUGGUACCAUUUAAAUGAGGCACAAAAGAAAAUGCUUCUGGGGGUGCAGAAGAAAGGCACCUCUAUGCGGCAGAGAGCAGGUUGGUCCCAGGUGAGAACUUUCCACGCUCUUUAAAGAUGAUUUGCCUCUAGUCCCCGUGGCCUCCCCUUCGUGGGAGGUAAGUGGCUGACUUACUGGAAGCUGGAGAAUUCAGAGGGUUCCGAGGCAGACAAAUGAUCAAUUGCUCAGGGCCCCUUCUUUGCCAAGGAAAACGAGGAGCUCCUGGGCGCCAAGGGAACCAGUGGGGCUGGCAGAGGCUACAUCUAUGCUACUUCUCCCCCUGGUUAACUUGCCAAUUAAACCUUCUCUACCAUAUGGAGUUCAGGUCAUAAGAAAGAAGACCUAUCUCAUUGACCUCACUGAAUCCCAGACACAAAUAGAACUUUGUCAUUAGUCAUGGGCACCUUUCUUUGCUGGGGGCUUCCUGUCAUCUGUCAUAGUGUAGCUGUUUCUGCACUAGCUGUGUCAGGGGACAUGUCUUCCCUUGUCUGAGAGUGGUAGUCACUAACCGUAGGCUGUGAAAUAUCAGGGAAAUACAUUUAACAUACACCUACAUUUGGAACCCUCAAGCCAAAGCCCCUUGUAUUCUUUAAAGAAAAGCUGACGAAUCCUUCCUGGAGAUCGGCUCUUUGCCAUGCUGUGUUGCACGUAGUCCUGGUGAUCAUGAUGUGUGUGCUGGUGAGAGACUCUCCCAAUGGAUGCUUUCCCUGGCUGUCGCUGUUUCUGUGCAGCACAAAGUCAGACUGUGCAUUUAAGCAACAAGGCCCUGCAUGGUCUCUGAGCAGACAAAGUGAUGAUCCAGGACUUUGUUUCCCAAGGGGAAGUGGUCUCUCUAUCUGGUCUGUGCUAGGUACUUGGUGGGGGCAGGGAGGUUCUGUGACACUCAUUGUAUCAAAAUAAUUGACCAGGAUGUACUUACUGUGCUCUGGGAAGAUUCAAGACCGAACAGAAGACCAGAUAAUGUUGUAGGCCCUUUAUGCAGGUUGUCUGAACGUAGUCUUGGGAUUCUCCCUGAUCCUGUGGGAUGCUUUGUGCCCUCUCAUGCCCCACCCCAUUAACCUGGCAAGGGAGUAAGAUGCAGACAAUAGGCAGAAUGCAGUUUUGGAAUGUACUGUACAUAACAAACAGGAGAUUCAGGCAUGCUCUGGCUCAGUGGUCUACCUCAGGGCACAGGUCUGGGUUUGGAGGUGGCU
rnacentral:lncRNA from 1 species